CAGAGUGUAGCUAAGAAGUAAAGCAUCUCCCUUACACCGAGAAGACACCCGUGCAAUUCGGGCCACCCUGA
rnacentral:tRNA from 1 species